rnacentral:lncRNA from 1 species
CCCCCUCUGCAAGAUCCAGGAGUGGGUUUGUGUUUCUGUCCCCCAGCUUCUCGCUGAGUCACUCAAGAAGGAAAGGGCGGCAGGCUCGGGUUAUUUCUGCCCCGGGAGCCAUCCAAGCUGCCAGUCCUGGGAAGACCUUGGUCUCUGGCAUCGUCUGUGGGCAUCCAGCACCCGUGCAUACCAGACCGUUGCGCCUGUCAAAUCCGGGCUCCCGGGUCCCCCGGGGAGAGACGGGGUGUGCAGGUGGGGAUCAGGGCAAACUAGGCGUGGAAAGGUCUCAGCCAGAUUUGGAGAGGGGACAUUUGGAAGGAACGAAUAAGCAAAAUCCUAAGCUGUAAGCAGCAGAGUGAGAGGAGCCAGGGGAGGAAGGGUUUAGUUGUUGGGGAAGGCUCCGGGCAGGGAGUGUGGUGAGCCACAGUGAAGGGGUCGGGAAAAUUGGGAAGACAUUCUCACCGGAAAUCUCCAAAGGCGUCUUGCAUGAGACGCACCCAGCCCUGGCCACUCAGUUCACCACCACGUCAGAGCUCCUGCUAAUCCCUGCCCGGAGUCUGAAGUAGAGAUAUCCUCUUAGUGCUCAUGGAGGAUUCAGGCCACUCGUGUGACCAGCAAGAGGCGUGGAGAGGCCGGGAACCCUCGCUGCCCGUCUCUGAGAGGUGGCUCAGCAUCCGUGGGGCAGCCCAGGGACCAAGGAGCCACCUUGACCUACCUGACCAGCAUAACCCAGGGGAGUCGGCUUUAAUCCUGGCCUCUCUUGGGCUCAAAAGAAUCCAGAUCACAAUAGGUAGGGUUAGAUUACUCAGGCCAGCAACUCACUUCGCAGAUACAGAAACUGGGGCUUGCAGAGGCCCGGGGCCUGGGGCCUGGGGCCAGUAUGGGAUACACACUGGCAGCCAGGUCACCUGACCCCCAGGUCGCCUGACCUCCCAGGAUGUCUGACCUCGACCCUCCAGGUCACCUGACCUCUCAGACCACUGCUCUUCCCCUGCUGUGUGGUUUUCCCUAUAUGGAAAAUCCCUUUCACUGUGCUACUUAAAAUAAUUGUGGGGCGUCCCGAUGGGGUGGGGGCCAGUGGCAUGGGCAGUGAAAGAAUUCCCCCAAGGCAGAACAAAAGAGAAGUUUAUUGCAUACACGGCAAGGAGCAGCGGGCAGG